rnacentral:lncRNA from 1 species
AUGGGCAGCAAGAUGCAUCUGCUAGCAGUGUCGUUCAGGUAGUCAAGCCACAUGCUCCAUUAAUAAGCUUCCCUGCUGGAAGAGACAAUCCUAAACCCAAUGUACCAGAAGCUCUGAGAUCAGCAGGGCAACCAUCUCACGAUUCUGCAAUUUCCCAGCAUUCUAAGGGAAGUAAAUUACUGGAUUUGUGGAUGUACCAGACACUGCAGAAGUAAUGAAAACAUUACCUCAGAAAUAUAGAAGUAAACUUGUGUCUCAAGAAGAAAUUGAAUUUGUCCAUUGUGGAGAUCCAGAAUAA